GCAGNUCGAACGAGAAAGGUGGCUUCGGUCACUAAGUAAAGUGGCGCACGGGCUGAGUUAACGCGAUGGGUAAUCUACCCUGGAGACUGGAAUAACCCGCCGAAAGGCGAGCUAAUACCGGAUAAGACCACGGCACUAUGUGUAGUGGUUAAAGGUGGGGAUCCUUCGGGACCUGCCACUCAAGGAUGAGCCCGCGUCCCAUCAGCUUGUUGGUAGGGUAACGGCCUACCAAGGCAAAGACGGGUAGCUGGUCUGAGAGGACGAUCAGCCACACUGGCACUGGAAUACGGGCCAGACUCCUACGGGAGGCAGCAGUGGGGAAUUUUGCGCAAUGGGCGAAAGCCUGACGCAGCGACGCCGCGUGAGGGAAGAAGGCCUUCGGGUCGUAAACCUCUGUCGGGGGGGAAGAAACACCAGGUGUCUAAUAUCCAUCUGGCUUGACGGUACCCCCUAAGGAAGCAUCGGCUAACUACGUGCCAGCAGCCGCGGUAAUACGUAGGAUGCAAGCGUUGCUCGGAAUCAUUGGGUGUAAAGGGCGCGUAGGUGGCCUGACAAGUCAUGGGUGAAAUCCCUCGGCUCAACCGAGGAACUGCUUAUGAUACUGUCAGGCUAGAGUACGGGAGAGGGAAGUGGAAUUCCUGGUGUAGCGGUGAAAUGCGUAGAUAUCAGGAGGAACACCGGUGGCGAAGGCGGCUUCCUGGACCGAUACUGACACUGAGGCGCGAAAGCGUGGGUAGCAAACAGGAUUAGAUACCCUGGUAGUCCACGCCCUAAACGAUGGGCACUAGGUGUAGGGACUUAUUAAAGUCUCUGUGCCGAAACAAACGCAUUAAGUGCCC
rnacentral:rRNA from 1 species